UACGUAGGGUGCGAGCGUUGUCCGGAAUUAUUGGGCGUAAAGAGCUCGUAGGCGGUCUGUCGCGUCUGCUGUGAAAUCCCGAGGCUCAACCUCGGGCUUGCAGUGGGUACGGGCAGGCUAGAGUGCGGUAGGGGAGAAUGGAACUCCUGGUGUAGCGGUGGAAUGCGCAGAUAUCAGGAGGAACACCGAUGGCGAAGGCAGGUCUCUGGGCCGCAACUGACGCUGAGGAGCGAAAGCAUGGGGAGCGAACAGG
rnacentral:rRNA from 1 species